CAAUAGCGUAUAUUAAAGUUGUUGCAGUUAAAAAGCUCGUAGUUGGAUCUCUGGUAGGGGCGACCGUGCCGAACUUGAUUGUUCGAGUAUUGUGUUGUCUUCAGCCAUCCUCGUGGAGAACUUUUCUAACAUUAACUUGUUGGGAUUGGGACCCGCGUCGUUUACUGUGAAAAAAUUAGAGUGUUUAAAGCAGGCAUUAGCUUGAAUACAUUAGCAUGGAAUAAUAAGAUAGGACUUUGGUACUAUUUUGUUGGUUUGCAUACCAAAUUAAUGAUCAACAGGAACAGUUUGAGGAUAUUCGUAUGAACAUGUCAGAGGUGAAAUUCUUGGAUUUUGAUCAGACGAACUACUGCGAAAGCAUUUAUCAAGGAUGUUUUCAUUAA
rnacentral:rRNA from 1 species